UACGGAGGGAGCAAGCGUUGUUCGGAAUCAUUGGGCGUAAAGAGCGCGUAGGCGGUUUGUCAGGUUGGGAGUGAAAGCGCGGGGCUUAACCUCGGAACUGCUUCCACAACGGGCUGACUAGAGAGAGGUAGGGGAUGGCGGAAUUCCUAGUGUAGAGGUGAAAUUCGUAGAUAUUAGGAGGAACACCAGUGGCGAAGGCGGCCAUCUGGGCCGCUACUGACGCUGAGACGCGAAAGCGUGGGGAGCAAACAGG
rnacentral:rRNA from 1 species